rnacentral:rRNA from 1 species
GACGAACGCUGGCGGCGUGCCUAAUACAUGCAAGUCGAACGAGAGCGACCGGUGCUUGCACUGGUCAAUCUAGUGGCGAACGGGUGAGUAACACGUAGGUAACCUGCCCAUCAGAGGGGGAUAACAUCCGGAAACGGAUGCUAAAACCGCAUAGGUCUUCGAGCCGCAUGGCUUGAAGAGGAAAAGAGGCGCAAGCUUCUGCUGAUGGAUGGACCCGCGGUGCAUUAGCUAGUUGGUGAGGUAACGGCUCACCAAGGCCGUGAUGCAUAGCCGACCUGAGAGGGUGAUCGGCCACAUUGGGACUGAGACACGGCCCAAACUCCUACGGGAGGCAGCAGUAGGGAAUCUUCCGCAAUGGACGCAAGUCUGACGGAGCAACGCCGCGUGAGUGAAGAAGGUUUUCGGAUCGUAAAACUCUGUUGUUAGAGAAGAACAAGUGCUAGAGUAACUGUUAGCGCCUUGACGGUAUCUAACCAGAAAGCCACGGCUAACUACGUGCCAGCAGCCGCGGUAAUACGUAGGUGGCAAGCGUUGUCCGGAUUUAUUGGGCGUAAAGCGAGCGCAGGCGGUUCCUUAAGUCUGAUGUGAAAGCCCCCGGCUCAACCGGGGAGGGUCAUUGGAAACUGGGGAACUUGAGUGCAGAAGAGGAGAGUGGAAUUCCAUGUGUAGCGGUGAAAUGCGUAGAUAUAUGGAGGAACACCAGUGGCGAAGGCGACUCUCUGGUCUGUAACUGACGCUGAGGCUCGAAAGCGUGGGUAGCAAACAGG